GGGGGCGUAAUGGUUUCGACGGGGUCUUGAAGGUUUGAGUGGCGAGUCGUGUAAUUCCUCUAUCACGUUAAUCUUUGAGGAGCUAAAUAUAAACGCAAACGAAAAUAACUUAGUAGCUGCCUAAUUGCGGCUUCUGUUCCCUUCGGUCCUCCUGCCGACCGGAGCUGAACAUCAACUAUGCAGGGAACUGUAUUGCGGACAUCCGGACGUAAUAUAGAACUAUUCGGAAGUAGUGAAUCUCUAGCCGGUUUUCCGGGCGAUUGAAACACGAAAUAUAAAACGGAAAACUACACUCGUAGAAGCUUGAAUUGAAUUGAUUUCGGACAUGGGUUCGACUCCCAUCGUCUCCACCA
rnacentral:tmRNA from 1 species